rnacentral:rRNA from 1 species
UGCAUAAUUCCAAAUAAGCGGAGGAAAAGAAAAUAACAAUGAUUUCCUUAGUAACGGCGAGUGAACAGGAAAAAGCUCAAAGUUGGAACCUGUUUGGCCUAGCUAAACCGGAUUGUAAACUGUAGAAGUGUUUUCCAGGCAAGCCGGACCGAUAAGUCCUUUGGAACAGGGCAUCAUAGAGGGUGAGAAUCCCGUCUUCGGUCUGAGCAUUUGCCUUUUGCGAUACACUUUCAAAGAGUCAGGUUGUUUGGGAAUGCAGCCUAAAUUGGGUGGUAAAUCUCACCUAAAGCUAAAUAUUGGCGAGAAACCGAUAGCGAACAAGUACCGUGAGGGAAAGAUGAAAAGAACUUUGAAAAGAGAGUUAAACAGUAUGUGAAAUUGUUAAAAGGGAACCGUUUGGAGCCAGACUGGCUUGUCUGUAAUCAGUCUAAGCUUCGGCUUGGAUGCACUUGCAGGCUAUGCCUGCCAACGACAAUUUGGCUUGAGGGAAAAAACUAAGGGAAAUGUGGCCCAUCCGCGGGUGUUAUAGUCCCUUAGAAAAUACCUUGGGCUGGAUUGAGGUACGCAGCGAAUGCUAUUUGGCGAGUUGGCUGGGAAUAUUUUCUGAGGUGCUUUGGUACUGAGGUUGAUAUUCCCUAGUUACACUUCUAUUCGCUUAGGUGUGUUGGCUUAAUGACUCUAAAUGACCCGUCUUGAACCACGGGACCAA